CGGCAGCCCGCCUGCAGCCCACACCUGCCCUCGGUCCUUCCAGAAGCAGCCUCCUGGGAGGCGCCCCUUCCUCAGAAGCCCCUGCUCUGAAGCCCUGGUCCCAGCAGCGGCCGGGCAGCAGGGCCCCUUCCUGCACAGCCUUGCCUCCCGUGUCUCCUACCUCUCGGCAUCUCCGGGCUUGUGCAGGGGUGGUCCUGCUGCCUCUGCAGGAUGACGGCACCCGCAGCCCCUGCCGUCCUGUCUGAGAGAGCGUGUCAGAAAGCUCCGAGGUCCGCAGCUGCCCUUUCAGAGCAAAAGCAUCCUCUGGGUAGCUGAAGCUUGGACUUCUUUCUAAGCAAGGAAUGAGAUGUAAGCCGGGAGACAAGCCUGAGGCCGAAAAGCCACCCGGGAUGGCAGAAUCUUCUGAAGGACUGGAGGCGGCCAGGGCUGAGGUCAAGGCCCCGAUGGAGGCUACAGGCAAGAAUUCUUCACAAUACAAGCUGAGUCAUUAAGGAGUAGAAAAGCCACUAUGUUUGAUCCGAUUCAGGAGAAUGGCUCGGUUUCACCACGCUUAUUCUGAUGAACUUAAACCAAGUAAGUUUAGUUCAAAUUAACUCAUCAAUAAUUUGUCACAAAUUCUUGCCUCAUAUUUACUUCAUCUUAUGGGAAAUAGGACCCUCAACAUGAAAAGUUAGAAAGCAAUAUCAGAGUUCAAAUACAAGACACAAAGCAAAGGUACUAGAAGGAUAUUCAGACAUUUUUAUGGGCUGAAGAAGGCAAUUUUCUUAUUUUUAAAUAAAGAUUUUGGAUUAAAUUGACCGAGUGGUUUU
rnacentral:lncRNA from 1 species